CGUUGUAACUUGUAUUCUACGUUUCUAUUGGUCAGCAAUGCGGCAACUUCAAGUUCUGGCCAGGGGGGGCGGGACAACUGAGUGCGGCGACGCAGGUGUGUGUGAGAGCGCAUCGUGAUAGGAAACCUGCUGUAACUUUCCGCGGCAUAUAAGGUGAUAUCCACUGUUAAUGUUCGUCACACACAAGUAUUGUGAACCUAACAAAGCAGUGAGAUACAGCCUGUAACUUUUUGAUUAAUUACCAAAGCAAGUCUAUGUCUUGGCUAAACUACUAGCAGCUGCUAGCCAGCCCGCUAAGUUAGUUAGCCCGCUAAGCUAGUUAGCUCGCUCAGUUAGUUAGCCCGCUAAGUUAGUUAGCCCGCUAAGUUAGUUUGCCCGCUAAGCUAGCCAGCCCACUAAGCUAGUUAGCUCGCUCAGUAGCCAGCCCGCUAAGUUAGUUUGCCCGCUAAGCUAGUUAGCUCGCUAAGUUAGUUAGCAAGCUAAACUAGCCAUCCCGCUAAGCUAGUUAGUCCGCUAAGCGAGCUAGCACGCUAAGCUAGCUAGCGCCUCUGUUGAGCGCAUCAGCCCGACGACGAAGACGACCGAGAGGGAAACCAGACAGCGCCGCUGGGUGACCAGGUGAAACGCACCUCUGGCGACGAGGGAGGGUGGUUUCCUAAAUCCUGAAAUUACGGUGGCCGAGAAGUGUCAACACGAAUGCAAAAGCCAUAAUAAGAGGAUGUCCUGAAAGUUUGAAGAAGAUAAAAGACUGAGGACUUUGAGAAGUAGGGAAAGGCUGUCAUACUUCCUCUUUUCAUCCAAGAAACUGGACAAACUUGCACUAAAUAAGGACUGUGAGAAGCUAAGGUCAACAAACGGGACGAUGCAGCUGCUUUGUCAACAAAACCUGCUGAACACAAAGGGAAUCUCCAGCCUGUUCUUCAUAUCAAGCUAUUUGUUUAUUUUAGCAGAAAAACUACUGAUUAAAUAUGACUUUGUUGCGUCAUUAAUACAAACACACAUUCAACCCAUAACUCAGGAAACUAUUUAAUUUACUAAAUCAAACUCAGGGGAGAAAAAAGCACGACUUCUGAAUUAUUGUUUUAACACAACACAUCAACCAUGACAAUGUAAUAUUUUGCAGGUGAAAUCAUAUGUUUUAACAUUUCAAACAAACAACAAAGUGAUAUUAUGAAUCAAGGUUUGUAUUUACUCCAUGCAGGACAUGAUCUCACAGUCCAGGCUGCGAUUUGUGAAAAAAGCGGGGGUUGACUCUUAUCAUGUGUCACGGGACGCUUCAGACUCCACAUGGGAGACGGGCACUCUACCAAGGGAGCUAAAAGUGAUCAAGGCCGAUGGAACCAGGAUCAAAAGCUUGCAGGCUUGGACCGCUGGAGCACUCUGCGGACGAAGGCCAGCGCUCCACCCAGGUGUCCUUCCCCAACAUGUAGACGUAUCUGAUACACAAAACAAAAACAGAGAAGAUUUGGUCAUCUUCAGGAUUCCUUUUUCUCCUGACCAGGAAAAAUAAAAUGAAAGACCCUUUUUUGACUUGGUUUUGUCUUACAACACCUGGAUAUCGGCAUCGAUGAAAAGAGCAAAACACUCACCGACUCCAAACCACAAAAUGAUUCCAAAUGGUGGUGCCAAAACAGACUGUACAUUGUAAUGGUGACAGAAAAACACUCAUAUGACCCUUGAUGACACCAUUUUAUUCUCUUGGCCACCAUGACGCGAUUGUUUGCAGGAAAAUUCUUCUUCAGCAGCUCUGAGGAAAAUGACCUACGUCAUUAUGACAGCGACCAAACAGUAAUACCACUUGGAACCACAACGUUGUCUCUUGCCCCUUUAAAUUGAAAACUCAGUCAAGAAUUCCCUCUUUUUUUUCUAAAUUUUUUUGGGAAAAAAAAAUGUGAAAUAACUUUUGAUGCAGCCCAAUAAAACUAAUAAUAUGUAGUUAAAUGAAAAUCUCUCUGAGAAUAUCGAUCAAAACUGAACAUUACUUUUACAGGUAAUAUCUCUGGCCAAGAUUUACUUUUCUUUCUUUGCUCUUGUUACCUGUUUGUGUGACUGUCAAUGUUCCACUGAUCCUCUUUGGGGCCGAUGAUGAGGUACUGAUGGCCCUGCUUCAGGUCGAGCCCCUGUCUGCAUCCUCCGUGAGACAUGAACAACCUCUUUUGGCCGACCUCAACUCCAGCCUCCACACCUGGACGUAACUCUGGCUGACACUCAGCACCUUCACCUGGAAAACUGAAGCAAGAAGAGCCGUCAUUGUUUUCCCUGCUGCUCAACACGAUGACGCUCAUGAUCCUCAGAGGAUGAACCCCCAGUGUCUUGUGUUACAGCCGCACACAAAGCUCCAGGGGAGUAGUGAAAGAAUUCAGUAGCUGUGAUAGAGCAGGCAUGUUCUCCUACUGUACCUGGGUUGUAAUACUCGUACACAGUGACGGAGGACGGCUGGAGGAGGCCGACUUUGAAGCUCUGCUGCAGCCGGAAGAUCAGCACCUCUGGCUCUUUGUGUGACACCUGACGAGACAAGUGGUGCAGGUGAGUUACCAUCUCCAGAUCUGAGUUUUCUGGGGUGAAGCCAGUGGGCAGACUGAUGUCCAGAACCACCAUCCUAACAUCGCUGGGUCCUAACGCCCUGUGGAAGAAACAGCGAGAGAGCAGCAAAUGUCAAACACACAACCGUCGUUACAUCACCGAUGGAUCAGAACAGUCCAGCGUAUCAUUGUCGUCGUAGCCGUAGUUAUGGAUCACAGCUUUGAUCUCGACCUGUUCGUUCCUCGCCACCGAAUAUGGCAGCUUCAGGUCCACAAAGAAACGCUUCCACGCCCUGAAGUUGUACGGCUGGGCCACACAGAAACCUGUAGAGAUGAGUGAAAGAAAAUCAGCGUAGGCUGUAAAACUCGUCAUCACAAGUUCCCAAAACUGAGAGCCACAGUGUGAUGAGUCCCUCCUCCUACCUGUAUGAGGCGAUGCACUGAUGGCCAGAAUUCCCCACUCUGUGAUGCUGUCAGCAUUCACACUUGUGAAACAUGAACUUGGCAAUAAAUCACAGCAGCGGCGGUGUUCAUACAGGAAUCUACUUCAGCACAGAGGACGAGUGGACGUGCACACACAAAUAUGUGCAGACUUACAGAACAGAAAUGCAAAUCAGUGGUGAAAAGAAUCAACAUUUUUGCUCCUGACUGAGCUGAUUGAUCAGCUGUUAUCACCGACCAAACACAACAUGACGUAAGCCAGGAAAGUCACGGAGCUGUGUGUUUUGUCGCACAUGAUGAAACUGUCCUGUGGAUUUAUCCCUCUGACGUAGUUCACCAACUAUCAGCGACUGGAUUUUCCCAUUUAUUCUAACAGGCAGUGGAUGCGACAGAGUUCUGUAUUAAUGUCCAGGUACUGUUUGAUCGCGGCCUCAUCUUGUACAUCUUGUUACAAACAUGAAAUAUCGUUUAAAUUGCACUUUGCAAGGACAUUUAAAUUCAUGUCUGGAAUGUGAGAAGUCUUCUUUGUUAAAACUGUUUUGCACUGAACAGAAUAGCUCUCCAAAUACUGUUGUAUGUACAAUGACAAUAAAGGCUUUUUAUUUCUUUA